CCUGGAGUUAUGCAACUUGGAGGGGCAGAGCCCAAUAUUUGUGGAAAGGAGGCUAAGGGCCAUAUUCUCUCUCUGCCUUCCUCUUGAUCUGCUGACCUCUCUAAAAUCCUUUCCAAGACUUCUAAUUCUAAACCUUCCCAUAUUUCUAAACCUUCCCUGUGUUAGAAUGGGGAAGCUGGCAUGAAGCGCUGGGCUGAUUUUGUUUGUUUGUAGUUUCUGUUCAAACUUGGACAUCUUAUUUCCAAGAGAUGUGAGAAAUGCACUGGAUAAGCUGUCCACAGCAGUUUCUCCUAAGGGUUCCUGCCAAAAACUGCAUGGGAUUUCAGGGUCUGGUUUGCUUCGCCUCCUUCAGGUCUGUUACAUUUCCCAGAAUGGUUCCCAGCGCUGGAGAUAAUUCCUUUUCGGAGAACCUACAUUUCUCACCUGCUGAUUGCAAUUAGCCACUGCCAGCUGGGGCCUGGUGCGCAGCUGAAAAGCUAACAAGAAGUGGAGACCACGCGGAACCCAGACAGGGCAUAGGAGGUGCAUGAAUAAGGAAUGGUGCCCAUGUUUAUGAGAUGCUCCUGUGAAUUUGAGGCUUCCCAACCCUUUGCAAAGCCCUCCCUCUUCCAGCCCUAUGCCACCCCCACCUCCCUAUUUUUUUUUUUUUUUUUUUGGUCUCUGGGUUUGUAGCCUACACUUAACAUCACAGUCACGAAUUUACCACUAAGUACAUUUUGUUAGGCAAUAAACAGCCUUGGAAGAAAAAUGAAAUGCAACUAGGACUUCUGUUCCAAUAAUAUUUGGGAGCUGUGGUGGAUUCAAGCAGGUCUCACAUGUGAGUCUUAGAACUAACAUUCACCAUGAGGGCUGACAGGGUUUCCAGAAGCCUUGGGAACCCUUAAUCUGACUCCCUCCUUUUGCGGAUGAAGACAAUGAAUCCUAGAAGGGGAACAUGGCUCAUCCAAAGUCUUAGAGGAAGUUGUAGGACUCGGUGAUGUCCAUGUCACCUGAUGUCCAGCUCUGGGCUCUAACUACUGAACAGGCUUGCUUUUGACCAUCCUGGCCUGUGAGGGAAGCAUCAAGAAGAUUGCCCAGAAUUAGAAGCCAGUGUCUUGGACAAUGUGGCCUCCAACCCAAGGCAACCUUGUUUCUUUCCCCAUGGGUCAAUCCUGGCCCCUGGGACCAAUGAGAAUACCCCCGGGCACUUUUGUCCAGGGUUGAUACCCAGUUUCCGUGGCUCAUAGCUGCUGACUCCAAUCCUGUGACUGCCCCCUAUGGAGGGUAUUCUCCCACUUUGGGGCUAUCUUGGAAUUGGCAACAGAGGGGACUGAUGCCCAGCCAAGGGGCAAUUAGCAGCUGUCCCUGGUCACUUUGCAAUGUAAAUGGAGGAAUAUCAACAUGGUGAGGUCUGGGCUUAGGGUGUGAACAUAUUCGUUUGGUGGGUUUGAGCUUAAACUUUCCAGCCCUUUCUACUCAGAGGGUAGGACAUUCUCUGCCCUACUCACCUUCCACUAGGAGAUCCUGAUUAUAAGAUUUCUGUUCAGGGAGUUGGAUAGGCUUCUAGGCAGUAAUGACAAAACCUGGAUUUUGAACUCCAACCUCAGCUCCAUUUUGUGGUUGGCAUAUCUCUCAGCCUGUUUUCUCAUCCAUAACACAAACACUCAUGAUACAUAUUAGUCCAUUCCCAUUACUAUAACAAAAUACCAGAGACUUGGUACUUUAUAAAGAAAAGAGCUUUAUUUAGCUCAGAGUUCUGGAGCUUCAAGAGCAUAGUGCUGGAUUCUCCUCAACUCUGGUGAAAGCCUCAUGGUGGAUGGAAUCAAAAUGGUGGGAACAUGUGUGGAAUGGGUCUCAUGGCAAGGCAAGAGCAGAGAGGGGCAAGGUUUGCUCUUUCAUAAGAACUUGCUCUUGUGGGACCAGGGUCUCUUGACAACUACAUUGAUCACUUCUGAGGGGAGUAUCCCAAUGAUCUAAUCAUCUUCCACUUGGCCCCACCUCUUCAAGGUUCCACCACUUCCACACCACUACAUUGGUGACCAAGCCCUGAGAACAUGAAAUUUUGGGGGAAAAUACACAUCUAAUCCAUAGCUUAAUGUGUGGCUUAUUGGGCUUUUUGAAAGGGUAAGGGAAAGAGACAUAGUUAAACGUGGGUUUUCUAUAAGUGUUCACUUUCCUUCCUCUAGUACUAACUUUCCAUUUUACUGAUAAAGAAAACCAAGGUCUAGAGAAAUAAAGAUACCCUCCUAAAGCUACUUACUCAUUCAUUACUUUCACUCACCUACUUUGCCUCCUAUGAGGCACUCAGGGAGGAAACCAGAAUGAACUUUACUAAUACAAAGUUCAUUCUGCAAACACAAGUUUGGUAAAUGUUUAACAAUUAGCUCAGAGGUCAGGAGAGGGAAGGUGAGGAGAAAGUUCGGAUUUGUAGUGUUGCUGGUUGUUAUUUUAAGGUAAUCUAUAUGUGUAAUCAUAAAAAAUUAUACAGGGUGAUCCCCUCUCUCCUUGAUCCAGUUUCCUCCAAUGCAAAAUUGCAGAACAAUGUCACAGCCAAUAUAUUGACAUGAUAUAAUACAUCGAUAUUUAUAUUUGCCCAGUUUUAUUUGUACUUGUGUGUGUGUGUUUGGUUCUAAGUAAUUUUAUCACAAUAUAUAGGUUCCCAUGGUCAACACCAGUCAAGGGACAGAACAGUUGAUUACCACAAGCACCACUCUUUUGCCAUCUUCACCUUCCUCCUUGUGUACCUUGCCUUUGAUCUUUAUACCUGACAACCUUUAAUCUGCCAUUUAUGUCUAAAAUUUUGUCAUUUCAAAAUCUCAUAGUAUGUAUAAUUCAUACAGUGUGUAAUCUUUGGAGAUGGGAUUUUUUUCCACUCAACAUGAUUUUAUCAAAUUUCAUCCAAGUUAUGUAUCAAUUGUUCAUUAUUUUUUUAUUGUUGAGUAAUAUUCCAUGGUGUGGCUAUACUGCAAUUUUUUCUACUAUUCACCUGUUGAAGGAAAAUGGUUUGUUUAUACAUUUAGGCUGUUAUGUAUAAUGCUCCUGUGACAAUUCAUACAUAAGAUUUUCUGGUGAAAAAGCAUCUGCUUUUGGGCUGGGGUUGUGGCUCAGUGGUUGAGUGCUUGCCUAGCAUGUGUGAGGCACUGGGUUCGACCCUCAGCACCACAUAAAAAUAAAUAAAUGCAUUGUGUUCAUAUACAACUAAAAAAAACUUUUAAAAAGUGUCUGCUCUUCCCCUAAGAUUGGGAACAAAAUUUAUUCUUACCACAAAAAUCACCAGCGUAAAUUCUAAUCAGUGCUUUAUUCAAGAAAGAGAAAUGAAAGUUUAAGUAUUAGAAAAUAAGAAAGAAAAAUUUCCCUAUUGCAGAGGAUGUGAUUGUGUAUGGAGAAAAUCUUAUUCCCAUCUCUUUGGAAAUUGUGCACUCUGCCCAAGAAGGCAAUGGCUGCAUCCUAUGGUAGACAUAGCUUAGUUUUAUAAGAAAAAAAAAUGCCAAAUUGUUUUCCAGAGUGACUGUACCAUUUGACAUUCUCAUCAUCAGUGUAUGAGACAUCUGGUUUCUCUGCAUCGUCACCAGCAUUUAGUGUUUGUCACUAUUCUUUAUUUUAGCAAUUCUGGUAGAAUCACUUCAUACGUGAUGUAUCAUUGUGGUUUUAGUUUGCAUUUUUCUAAUAGCUAAUGAAGCCAAACAUCUUUUCGUGUGCUUAUUUGUCAUAUGUAGAACCAUUUUGGUGAAGUGUCUCUUUAUGACUUUUGUCCAUUUUUUAACUGAACUCUUUGUUUUUUACUGUUCAGUUUUGAGAGUUCUUUAUAUUCUAAAUACUAGUCUUUUGUGUCAAAUACGUGGUUUGCAGAUAUUUUCUUCCAGUCCAUACAUUACUUUUCAGCCUCAUUAUAGGGUGUUUCACAAAGCAAAAGUUGUUUUGAUGAAGUCUAAUUCAUUAGUUUUUCACUUGUGUUUUGAGUGUCAAGUCGAAUUUUUUUUGCCUGUUUGUAUAUCACAAAUAUUUUCUCCUAUUUUCAAAUGUUUAUAUUAUGGUUUAAUAUUUUACAUUUAAUUAACUUUCUGAUCUUUCUUUCUUUCUUUCUUUCUUUCUUUCGUGUGUGCUGCUGGGGAUUGAACCCAGAGUCUUACUCAUGCUAGGCAAGUUAUAUACCACUGAGCUACUUGCCCAGUCCUUCAUUUUUUAUUUUGAAUUAAUUUUUCUAGAAAGUGUGACAUUUAGAUCAAGGUUCAUCCUUUCUUUCCCUACCUUUCCCAUCCCUCCCCUCCCCUUCCCUUCCCUUCCAUUAUGUCCCAUUUCCUUCCUUUUUUUCUUCUCUCUUCUCUUUGCCCUAUGGGUAUCCAAUUGUUUCAGAAUUAUUUGUGGAAAAUGCUAUUUUUUUUUCUCAUGAAAUUAUUUUUGCACCUCAGUUAAAACUUGGACAUAUCUUUCUGGGUUCUCUUUUCCAUUGAUCUGUCUCCAUUUCUCUAUCAAUCUGACGUUCUUUUCUCAUCAUAGAGCAUAUAACAAAACAAGUCUUGUAAGGGAGGCAAUUAAAGAGGAAAUAAUUAAAAACUAGGGAAAACAGAGGUAUGUCAGAAAAUUAAUUAAUAUAUAUAUAUAAAUUAUUUUAAAAAAUAUUUGUUAUGUUAAUAGUGUUUUAAGUCUCUUAAAUGUAAUAAUUCAUUGUGAUUUCUUUAACACCCUAAAUAAGUGUUAGUUUUAGUACUUAUAAUAAUAAGUCUUAAUGUUGGGUAGAUUAAUUCCUCCCAUUUUAUUCAUCUUAAGAUUGAAUUGGCUGUUCUAGGGUUUGUGUUUUUCCAUAUAAAUUUUAAAAUAAUUUUAUCUAUGUCUACCAAAAAUCUUCGUGGGAUUUUGUUUGGAAUUGUAUUAAACCUAUAUAUCAACUUGAGGAAAAUUGAGAUUCUUACUAUGUCAAGACUUCUAAUCAGCUUAUUGAAUUGCCUCUCAACUUACCAAGUCUUUUUAAAUUUCUUUUAUCAGUAUUUUGUACUUUGCAUAUAUAGCAUACCAUAAAUGUUUGACUAAGCAUAUACUUAUGUAUUUCUUACAGUACACAGAUCCUACAAAUAUCUUGUUCCCUGCAUACUUAAAAUUGUAUUUACAAUCACCUGAUGGUAAAUGGCAUUAUGUUUUUAAUUUUGGCUUCCACAUGUUCACUGUUAGUAUGUAAAAUGUGUUGACCUUAUAUCCUGAAAGACUGCCAAACUCAUUUGUUGGUUCUAGGAUUUUUGUUUUGUAGAUUCAUUGGGAUUUCUGCAAAAAAAAAAAAAUCACAUUUUUCUGCAAAUGGGAAAUAUUUCUUUCUUUUUGAUAUUGAUGUCUUUCUUUUUCUUUUCUUUUGCAUGGACUAGAACUUUCCAUACUCUGAAAUGUGCAGUGAGAAUGAACUAUGUUUCCAACCUUAGGGGGAGAGCAGACUGUCUUUCAUCAAUGCCUCUGGAAAGUAAAGAGCCUACCUGAGUGCCUUAUGCCACAGAGUGGAGAACCAGGAUCCAUAAGGAAUGGGUGACUGGCUUUAGAUCUAGAUUCUGAAAACUCAAGCCCUGUGUCAACUUCUACAUCUGGGUCAAUGGAUAACAAAUAUGGAACUUGCUAUUUCUACUGACACUUGCAUAAAGACCCACCUAUUACUGGCUGAUCUGGGGUGUGGGUGGACUAUUUAACUCAGGACCUACCUACUCUUACCUACUGCUGUUUUUGAUUGUGGGUCAAGGGAUGGAUUUCCUUCCUGAGUUCUUCUGAUACCAAGAUUGGUAGAUCGUCCUACCACUGCCACUGGGUGUUGGUGUCCCUGCUAAGUCCCUGCUGGCUUUCCUUGUUCCUGGUAAAUAAUGAAAGAUAAAAAAGAAAUCCUAUGGAAGUCACUGUUCAUCAUGGUGUUGCUCUUAAACUCUUGAGAUCUGUAGUGAGUUUUCUUCUAUCCAACAUUCAGACUUUUUACCAUUUUCUGUUGAAUUAUUUCCAAGGUAUUUCAUUAUAUUUAAAGUGAAAGAACAGGGAAAAUUGAUUCUAUUCUAUUUUGUCUCUCAAUUGGAAGCCAUUAUUUUAAAUUCAAAUUAUUGCUCAGAAUAGGAGUAUUUUCUGGGUGAUAGAUAUAUGAGUAUUCAUUUUAUGUUAUUCUCUACAGUCCUAUAGGUUCGAUACACCAAAAAUGUCUAAUGUAAGGUUAUGCCACAUAUAAGAUACUCUCCCAUUACAAGUGCAAUCUCUCCUACUUUGGUUUAUUCUAUUUUAUAUCUAUUCUAUUAUAUUUUGGUCAACAAAAUAUGUGCACGGUCAAGACUCAUUAGCCAGAAACGAUUUCAAUCAAUGAUAGUUUGGGAUGAUCAUCUGAGAGAAUGAAUUAAAAACAAGGCAAAGAAAUCUAAUGCAAAUUUAGUCAUUAUGCCUGGGGAGGUGGCCUCACAGUUGCAAGAGUUAGAUGUCCAUAUAAGCUUGUCUUUUAAAGGUCACUUUAAAAAGCAAUGCAAUAAAUGAUUCUUAUGAUAUUUUAAAAAUUGUUUUAAUAUGAGAAUGGAAACUUGAAACUUCAGAUAUUUCUACUGACAUUAUCCUACAUAGAUUAAGGUGUUCUAUAUCUCAACUUUGAGGGAAAUGAAGAUGAUGUGACUUGGAGAACUGCAGUAGAUGACUCAAGCAUGUAUCUAUGAAACAUGUCCCUAAGAAGGUCACUGAUGUCAAACAUUAAUGAUUAGUUUAAGGACAAUUGUUUCAUAAGAAAAAUAAUAAUAUUUCCAAAUCAAUAUUUUGAUUUAUGUAAAACAUGGUUUUAAGUAUAUAUAUGUAACUUUAUUAGAAAAUUAAAUAUUAUAUAGACCUUUUAGUAUUCUAUGUCUUUGAAAGCUUAUAUAUUUGAGGUGACCAAAAAAUCUUUUUAAAAGAUCUUCUAAUCUAGAAAUUUGGAGGUUAUAUUUGCUAUAUAUUUAUAUGUAAUUAUUUUGAUAUUUCAAAUACCAAAAAAUUACAGCUGUGAAUCUAUCACCUGUGUUAUAGUUUGAAUCUAAAAUGUACCCAAAAGGCUCAUGUGUUGAAGGCCUGGAUCCCAGUGCAGCAACAUUCAAAAGUGGGACUCUUGGGGAAAAAAAAGUUGGAUCAUGACGGCUCUAAUCUCAUCAAUGGGUCAAUUCACUAAUGAGUUCAUAAUUGAAUGGACUACUGGGAGAAGACAGAAACUGUAGGAGGUGCAGUCUAGAUGGAGGAAGAGGUCUCUAAGAGAAUGUCCUGAAAUGGUAUAUCUUUUUUUUUAUUUUUUUUUAUUUUUUAUUGGUUGUUCAAAACAUUACAAAGCUCAUGGCAUAUCAUCUUUCAUACAUUUGACUCAAUUGGGUUAUGAACUCCCAUUUUUACCCCAAAUACAAAUUGCAGAAUCACAUCGGUUACACAUUCACAUUUUUACAUACUGCCAUACUAGUGACUGUUGUAUUCUGCUACCUUUCCUAUCCUCUACUAUCCCCCCUCCCCUCCCCUCCCAUCUUCCCUCUCUACCUCAUCUGCUGUUGUUCAAUUCUUUCCCUUGUUCCCCCCCCUUUCCCCUCACAAAGACUUCUUUGUACACAGCUUUCAUGCUUUUCUAUCCUUCCUUCCCCUGGAUAUUCACCAUUUUCAUGUAUGUCUAAUGAGAUCAACACAUAGUUAUAUAUUUGAAAAGAAAACAUGUGUCUGUUUUGAGUUUCAAAAUAUUAUGUAAAUUUUAAUAUCCUGCAUAUAUCAUUCUGCAUUACUGAUAUGUGUUUUCUGCUUCCUGUGCUUUUGUUCUUUCCAGGCUUCUGAUGGAUUAAAAAUAUUUCCUUUCCUCUACUGCUAUUUUAAAGCUAUAUAUAAUAUUUCUACAUUGUUUUACUAGUCAUCUCUUUAUUUUCAAUAUGUAUAUUUAAUUAUAAAUGAUUUCUACCGUCUAAAGCUAUUUGAUAUACCUAUCAUCCUCCCAAUG